UAACACGUAGGGACCAAGCGUUGUCCGGAUUUAUUGGGCGUAAAGAGCUCGUAGGCGGUUCGGUAAGUCGGGUGUGAAAACUCUGGGCUCAACUCGGAGAGGCCACCCGAUACUGCCGUGACUUGAGUCCGGUAGGGGAGCACGGAAUUCCUGGUGUAGCGGUGAAAUGCGCAGAUAUCAGGAGGAACACCGGUGGCGAAGGCGGUGCUCUGGGCCGGUACUGACGCUGAGGAGCGAAAGCGUGGGUAGCAAACAGGAUUAGAUACCCUGGUAGUCCACGCCGUAAACGUUGGGCACUAGGUGUGGGACCCCGCCAACGGGUUCUGUGCCGCAGCUAACGCAUUAAGUGCCCCGCCUGGGGAGUACGGCCGCAAGGUUA
rnacentral:rRNA from 1 species